UACAUAUUCAAACGUACUUUUAUAGAAGAAAAAAAAACAAUAAAAUUGAAAGCAGUCUUCUUAGCAGACCACCAGUGAAGUAGUGCGCUCUGUCGCUUUAUUGAGUAUAACAUGAUACUGAAGUCAAAACAGACAUCUGACAAUUAUUUUGAUUUUUAUUAUUAAAAAAAAAUUUUUUAAAAGUUUGCGCUUAUAAUUUUUUUUUAAUUUCUAAGAUAAAGUACCCAGUAGCUGCUCAGGAACCCAGUACCUGCUCACUCCAUGUAUUUUUAUUCGCCCGGUCACGUGGACGGAGUAAUAAUAGCAUUAAUACUAAUUCAUUAACAGUGUGUUGCGUGUUGAUGCAUACUGAUAGCGCCACCUAAAAUAAUGCUUAACAUUCUUUCAUGCUUAACGUAUACACGCAUACACACUCAUUUUUGACUAGUAUAUGUGCGUGCACCCAGUCAAUAUCUGCAUUUGUGAAUAUAGAUAUAUAAGUACACAGAGUGGGCAGGUAUUGGUUCUUGAGCAGCUACUGGUAUCAUGAGAAAAACAUGUUUCCAAAUGCAGUGCCAGACACUUUUGCGGAUGCAUCAGACUUAGAAUUCAUAGGAAAUGUGUCAAUCAAAAUGAUCGAUGCAAUGAAUAAUGAUAGGAAUAACGCACUGUAUUUUCAAGCCCAAUGCAUUCGUGGACAUUUUUAUAAAAAGUCAAUCGGUAAACAAAAUCAGCACAUCUUCUAUUUGAUUAAUUGAUUGAUACUCUUCUAAUGACUUACUGAAGAUGUACUUCAAAUCCAAAAUAGUUUUCAAUAUCAGCCACAAUUGCAUUAAAAAAUUUUUGUUUUUUUUUUAUCAGUAUACUUAUUCAGAUUUAAUAAUAAGUAAUAGUAUUGAUAAAAAAAGUUCAGUUUUUAUUUACAGUAGAGUCUCCUCAACUUCAAAUGAGAGGUGCCCCAAAUUCCAGGAAUUGAAGUUAGAGAAUACACGGCAGUAGACGAGUCUCUCCAUAUUUGUUAUCGUGUACGGGAGAAAUACAUGUCGCCGACUGUAGAAGUAAGGACAACCCUCUUGUAUUGGAGAUUAGUUAAAAAAGUGUCCACUUGUAAACAGCAAAUUAUUGUUCGAACCACGAAGGCUAGAUAGACCGGUCAACUAUUCAAUCCGUCAGAAUCGGUCAGAAGCCCAUAAACCAGUAAAAAAUUUAUUCGGUCAUUUAUUAGACCCUCUGAUUUUAUCACAAUCUAAUUAAUGACUAUAAAAUUGAACGGUUAUAUCGAGGAACGAAUUGUUAGAAGAAAAAAUUGCUAAACAAUUAAAGAAAAAAAAAGUUGCAAGCUAG